rnacentral:piRNA from 1 species
UGAUCAAUUCUAAAGUUCCAA